rnacentral:tRNA from 1 species
GAGCGCGGUAGUUUAAGCGGCAGAACGGCCUCGGGAGGGGUCAGUGCGGGUUCGAAUCCCGUCCGCGCGCGC